rnacentral:lncRNA from 1 species
GCACUGAGCUCUGGGUGACCGUGGGCUUCCCUGAAACACAUGGUUUUAUAGAUGCAUAUAUUUACAUGUAUGUGUCCGUGUAUAUUUUUUCCUUCUUCCUUUUCACACCUCUGACUUGGAUGGUGGUGUGAAGAAAGGCUGUGUGAAUCAGAAUGUAUGAACAAUGCAUGUGAGAGAUGCCUGGUUCCUGGAGAAAGAAAGAGUUCCGGAGAGGGUCGGGGCAGCUGGAGCAGACACACAGAAAAUCAUGGAAUUCCACAGUCCAGACCCGGAGGAAGUAGAAACACAGAUUAUAGCCACGGUGGAGCCUGGAGGCUAUUUAUUCCACCCUACUCUCUCAGCAGGGAAAAACAAUUUACAGAUCCUCUUGGAACACAAAUAAUGGAUGGAAUAAUAAAGGAAACCACACUUUUGAGCUAACCUUGGGUCUUAGUUUUUACCUGGAUGUAGAAACACAUUGAAGACAGUAUGCUCCCAUAAGGAGUCAGAUUGAAAAAUGGAAAAUCUGGAAAGCUUCUAAUGCAAAAAUAACGCCUCGAUUGUUGCAUCAGCAAAGGAGAGUCACUAGAUUGCUCCCGCCCAGCAUGAUCCUCCCUCCUCCACUUCUGAUUUCCCCUGUGACCCACGACAUCCACCGACUGGGAGGAGAGCAGGCAGACCAGCGCUGCUCAGCCUCCCUUAUCUCAGCAGAAUGUUCCUGGGAGACAUCAUCUCCCCAGCUCUGUCUGCAUCAUUGGCUUUGUCUGAAACCGGUGUGUUUUGUUUGAAUAUUAUUUUUUAAAUAGUUGGCUCUAGAAGAGAUAUUGGUCUUUUUAGAAAACUGCUUCUGGCAUGAACCAGAUAUUCUGUGACUUUAAGCUCUUCGAGAAAGCUGUGUGUAUCGGAAAGCCAGCAGUAAAAGCGAUGGUUGCUAAGGGAACAAUUGAAUUGCUGACACAGAGACACAUGGUGGGACUGAAAACUCUUUUUUUCUUCUCCUGCCACACGGAAAAGAAAGCACAUGAGUCAGAGGGAAUGGUGGACGGUCCUUUCUGCUUGUUAAGAAAGCUAAAAGGCUGAAAUUGCCUAUUAGCUUAAAGGGAGCGAGUCUAGUGGCGGUUCAGGCUGAGAAAAGCUGAGAGCAGCUGGAAAGUUGGGGAUAAGUCGGUGAAGGCAGAGCUGAAACUGUGACUCAGAGCGAGCUGAAAAGAAAAAAGCCACCAACUAAUGAGACUCACGUUAGGCUGUAGCCGAUGACAGUGUGCAACGGAAGGAGCUUAAUCAUAUGUAGAUAGACUUCUUUGAACACCAGCUCCUAAAUACUUUGAAAUGUUUUUUGAUUGAUUCAUUCACUCCUGUACCCUUCAAUUGCCAUUUCUGAGAGUCUGUUGUUUGUUUAAACACCUUUUUUUUGAGGUAUAAAUUAUAUAUCUUAAAAUUCCACCAUUGUGACUUUGUAGCUGAAUGAUUUUUUAGUAACUUUACAGAGUUCUGUAGUCAUUCCUCCCAUCCAGUUUUAGAAUAUUUCCAUCUUGACAUAAAGUUCCCUUUUGUCUCUUCAAAGUCAAUCCUGCCCCAGCCCCAGGCAACUACUGAUCUGUUUUAUAUCUCUAUAGAUUUGUCUUUUCUAGAAAUUUUAUCUAAAUGGAAUUAUGUGAUCUGUGGUCUUUUGUGUCUGGCUUAUUUCAUGUGAUGUUUUUGAGAUUCAUCCAUGUUGUGCCAUGUAUAAGCAGCUCAUUCUUUUUUUAAAAUACUGAACAAUGUUCCACUGUAUAAGUAUAUUACAUUUUGUUUAUCUGUUCAUCAGUAGGUGGACAUUUGGGUUGUUUCUAAUUUAGGGCAAUUAUGAAUAAAC